rnacentral:rRNA from 1 species
UACAGAGACUGCAAGCGUUAUUCGGAUUCACUGGGCGUAAAGGGUGCGCAGGCGGCCGAGUGUGUGAGGCGUGAAAGCCCGGGGCUUAACCCCGGAAUUGCACCUCAAACUACACGGCUAGAGCAUUGGAGAGGGUAGCAGAAUUCAUGGUGUAGCAGUGAAAUGCGUAGAGAUGUGGAGGAACACCAAUGGCGAAGGCAGCCUUCUGGGCCAACACUGACGCUCAUGCACGAAAGCGUGUGGAGCAAACAGG